rnacentral:rRNA from 1 species
UACGUAGGGGGCAAGCGUUGUCCGGAAUCAUUGGGCGUAAAGCGCGUGUAGGCGGCUCGGUAAGUCUGCUGUGUAAGUCCAGGGCUCAACCCUGGGAUGCCGGUGGAUACUGUCGAGCUCGAGUCCGGAAGAGGCGAGUGGAAUUCCUGGUGUAGCGGUGAAAUGCGCAGAUAUCAGGAGGAACACCAAUGGCGAAGGCAGCUCGCUGGGACGUGACUGACGCUGAGGAGCGAAAGCAUGGGGAGCGAACAGG